rnacentral:rRNA from 1 species
AUUGAACGCUGGCGGCAUACUUUACACAUGCAAGUCGAACGGUAACAGGCCGCAAGGUGCUGACGAGUGGCGAACGGGUGAGUAAUGCAUCGGAACGUGCCCAGUCGUGGGGGAUAACGCAGCGAAAGCUGCGCUAAUACCGCAUACGAUCUGUGGAUGAAAGCGGGGGACCGUAAGGCCUCGCGCGAUUGGAGCGGCCGAUGUCAGAUUAGGUAGUUGGUGAGGUAAAGGCUCACCAAGCCGACGAUCUGUAGCUGGUCUGAGAGGACGACCAGCCACACUGGGACUGAGACACGGCCCAGACUCCUACAGGAGGCAGCAGUGGGGAAUGUUGGACAAUGGGUGCAACCCUGAUCCAGCAAUGCCGCGUGCAGGAAGAAGGCCUUCGGGUUGUAAACUGCUUCUGUACGGAACGAAACGGCUCUGGUUAAUACCCGGAGCUAAUGACGGUACCGUAAGAAUAAGCACCGGCUAACUACGUGCCAGCCGCCGCAGUAAUAC